GCAACCUUCACUACUUGUGAAUAUAAGUUCAUAACGAUUAGGUGAAACUCCCUUAUAUACUAGCGUCAAAUUCAUGCAUGAAAAUUAAGCGUGCACUCUCAACCAACAUACACAAAUUAGUUUUUAUACGAACGGAUAAGUAAAUUGAAUUCACAAUUCAAGAAACGCAAUUGGAAGUAAUCAAAUCAUAUAGCAAGCAUAAACAUGGUUUUGAAUCCCCCCUAGCCAAGGGGGGUUUAGUUCCUCAUUAUUACAAAACAAAGAUAAAGAAAUUUAACCAUUGAAAAACAAAGGGAAGAAAGCACCUAAACGUUCCAACGAUCCAUGUUGGAUAGCAAGCGCGUCCAAGGACUUUUCUCCUUCUCCUUGCCGCAACAACAAGGUUGGAAUGAUGUUGAAGGGUUGGUUAUUUGGAGGAAUGGAUGGGAAGGGGUUUAGAUAUGUAGGAGAGGCAAGGAAAGGCUUGGAGAAUGGUUAAUUUCUGGAUGUCUUAAUGAGGUUGCUGCCAUAGGUAUUUAUAGGGAGAGGAUGGACUUGUUUAAUUCAAUUUCCUAGUGUGAAAACAACCAAAACUCACGGCAAGGAUGUGUAGAGAAUAAUGGUGGGUUAGGUCUUGAAUCAUUCACUCAAUUUUCUAGUGUGAAAACACCAAAAACUCACGGCAAGGAUGUGGAUUUUAGGUGUGAACAUGGUUUUGAGUGGACUUUUGGUCAAUCCAUCUAGAAACCUAUCCUUUCUUUCAACUUGUAUUUAUUGCACCAGAUUUUUAGCAUGUUUAUUUGAUGUUUUGACUUCAAAUUCGUCCAAACUCCUUGCUCCAUGCAUAUGUACUUCAUUCCAAGCCCAAUUUUGCUCCUAAAAGCUCCAAAAUGCUCCUUUUUGCAUACUUUGACACUAAAACCUGAAAUUGCACGAAAAUGACUUUAAACACUAAACUAACUAAGGAAAACAACAUAAAUGCAUGAGAACAAGCCAAUUAAGUCGCAUAAAAAUGCUCCUAUCAAAUUCCCCCACACUUAGCUUUUGCUAGUCCUCGAGCAAAACAAAGAAAUAAAACAAAACAAAACCAACAAACAUAACCUAAACCUUCCAACGUUUGCCUUAGGGAUUUCCAAUGCACAUGACAUGUUAAAGAUUAUCAUUCCCACAGAAUUGAGUCAAUUUAACACUUAAGCACAUACUUAAUCAUAGUCACUACUUACCAAUUCACAAUUAACCAAUUAAAACAAUGUUUUGAAUGUAGUAACAUGCCUUAGAGAAUUCCCUCAAUCCUUACAAGAUAUGCACUCUAUUUUCACUUAGAUUUUCUAACUACACACCCUAUACUAGUUAUAUGUGAGAGAAUUGAUGUAGAUAUAAAAAAUGAAUGCUCACAUAUAUGUAUAACAAAGAAUACAAUUUCUAGAGUUAAUAAGCAUGUUGAGAUAUGAUCUCAUGAAUGGAAUGCUACUACUUAGAUGCGAGAACCAGUGACCAUAUGCUCAUACCAAGUUCAAUCUCCACAAAUUGAAACACAUAACACUCAAGAUAGAAGUCAAGGGUUGUAACGGGGCUUGGGGUAUUGGCUAACAAAGAAAGGAUAAGGAAAACAAACGUUCUUAAAGUGAUAGUAAGCAAAGUAAUGAAAUUGAGACUUAGAAUUUACUUAGAUUGCAGAAAUUAGCUUUAAAACACAAUGGGAAGAUUUAAACAACUCCUUAGGGUCGAAUUCAUUGUUUUGGACCCCUUCUUCAUCAAACAACACUUUAGAACUCUUUUUCACUUCUUUUCAACUCUUUUCGCAUUCUUUUCACAUUUUUCUUUUCUUUUUUUUCUUUCUUUUUACCCGUGCCUAUGGCACAUAAUUCCUUAUGAAAAACACUUCCCCCACACUUAUUUUCUGCCACAAAGGAAUUCAAUUUGAAUCAUGCUUUACUAUGCUUUAAGAACAAGGUUAAUGGAUGGUCCUAAUCUAAGCUAGGUGAGUUUAAUGUGGGUUACAAAGAAAAGGCUCACAAAGCUCAACGGGAUUAAAACGUACAAAACAUAAUGACAUAGGGGAUUCACGGCUUUUUGGUUAUGGUGGUGGUCACUACACAACUUUAUCUUGAAUAUGUGUUAUGCAAAUCAAUGACAUGCUUUGAAUGAAAUGGGUAUGAGUUCUAGCAUUUGGAACUAAAUGAUGAAACGCCUUCUAAGUAGUAACCAAGCAAAGAAUAAUGAGAUCAUGCAACGACUUAGAAAACAAUAAAUCACAGAUUAUUAACUCUCCAAAUAAACGUUUAGGCUCAAGUCUCACAAGGUUGUAGCGUUAGUUUGAGUUCUUUCCUUCAAGCAUGUUACAAAAACUGAUUUUUCCUUUAAGAUUGCAUGUAAAUUCAUAAGUUAUAACCACAACCAAGCAUAAACAAAGAGUAAAUCAAACUUUCAUCCAUGUUAAUCACUCUCUUUAACAGCCAUGAAAUUACAAACCAAAUCCUCAUCAUUGUGUUGGAAGGUACCCUAAGACACAAACAAACACACAAAAACAACUCUUUUUGGGUUUUGCAAAGCAAUUUUUCAAAUUUUUAUGUGAUUUUUGGAGUUAUAAGUCAGCAUACACUAAAACUCACCAAAACAGCCUAAAAACACCUAAAAACAGCAAGAAACAACAUUGGGAAGUAUGAGUGAGAAAACCCUACGAAUUUGCAUCAAAACACUUUGGUUACCCCCCCACACUUAAACCAAACAUUGUCCUCAAUGUUUCAAAGCAUAACUAACACAAAAACACAUAAACAAACAAACAAACACUAACAAACUAAAUAUGGCAGAAACUAAUUAAACAACAAAGAGAAGGGUUUAGGAACGCAAAUCUGGAAUUGGAGUGCUCUCUAGGCCUUCCUUUGUCGAAUGCAUGGGUUGCCUCCCACGAAGCGCUUUCUUUAACGUCUUCCAGCCGGACGGUACCUCCGUUUAAGCUUGACUAGGUGCCACGGCAUGGAGGGGUACAUCCUCCAUGACAUGCUCCUUGAAAUACUCAUGCAUUGGGUCUAUGUAUGGCAGUGGAUAAUGAUGGUCCCAGAUUGUGGCAUUGAGCUUCCCAAGGUCAAAGUAAAAACUCCCAUAAUCAUGGAUUCGAUUUGGUACCUGCACCACAGAAGGCAAUAACCUUUUAGUGGAAAUGGGAAUUGGAAUUAGAGGAGGAGGCUUACCAAUGCAUGUAGAUGAAGACUCAAAAGGGGCAGCAAAGGUGGUGCUCUCGGCCAGAUUUGGUAUUUUGGGUGUAAUGACAUGUUUUGUAUGCUCCACUCCAAUACCCUCUUCGAUGAUGCAUCUAGGGACAUCCUUCUUGAUUGGUGCGCAUGAAUGUUCCUUCCCCACAUGUUUAAUCACAUCUAUUGCAAAACAAGAACGAACAUCAUGAGGAUUCUUAACAUAUUCAGGAACUUUGAAUUUAAUCAAUUCAUCACCAAACUCCAUUGUUAACUCUCCCUUAGCCACAUCAAUCUUGGUUUGGGCUGUCUUCAUGAAGGGCCGCCCUAAUAGUAUCGGCAAUGGGGUAGAAUAGGGUGAAUCCUCCAUGUCAAGCACGUAAAAGUCCGCUGGAAAAAUCAAAUUGCCCACCUGCACCAACACAUCUUCCAAAACACCCUUUGGAUAUGCAUUAGAACGAUCGGCUAAUUGAAUAAUCACACCAUCGUUUUUAAGCUCACCUAAGUUCAUAGAUGCAUAAAUAGAGUAUGGCAUAACAUUAAUCGAAGCCCCUAAGUCUAACAUGCAUUGUUCAAACUUAGUCUUGCCAAUAACGCACGGAAUUGUAAAACUACCCGGAUCUUUGCAUUUAGGGGGUAAUUUCCUUUGUAACAUGGCAGAAACAUUCUCACUUACUUGGACCACCUCUUUGUUCGAAAUCCUUCUCCUUGAUGUACAAAGUUCUUUUAAAAACUGAGCAUACCUCGGGACUUGCUUAAUUGCAUCAAGGAGCGGAAUAUUGACUUGAACUUUCCGAAAGGUCUCUAAAAUGUCCUUCUCGGCUUCUUCCUUCUUUGAUUGCCUAAACCUGCCAGGAAAGGGCACAUUUAGUGGAAUGGAACUAAAAAAAGUCGAAUUUGGACUUACCUUGGUGGUUUGGGACGGUUUAGGAGGGCUAGAUGGUGGUGGCAAGGAUUGUUCAUCCUUGGUCGUGAGUUUUGGUCCCUGUGCUUCCUCUUGUAGCAACUUUUCAUCCUCAUCGUGACUUGAUUUGGAUGAUUUUGGUUUGGCCCCAACCUGUGUACCACUUCUUAACAUGAUUGCAUUGACAGUUUCAAAGCCUCCUUUUGGAUUUGCAAUGGUUGAGCUAGGCAACUUGCCUUGCUCUCGAAACUGCCCCAUGAACUCGGCAAUUUGCCCUACUUGUUUCUCCAACUCGUCCACCUUUUUGUCCCUAUUUUGCAUUCCCUGCGCCAUAGAAGUUAGUAAAUUAAAAAUUUGAUCAUUAUCAAUAGACGAACCUGAUUUUUGGGCAGGUUGUGCUUGGGGUUGAGUUGGUGCAAACGACUUUUGAUAGAAACCCGGGGGUUGUUGCCUCAAUCCGCUUUGUUGUUGGCCUUGUUGGGGUUCUCGCCAUUUGAAAUUUGGAUGAUCACGCCAACCGGGAUUGUAAGUAUUGGAAAAGGGGUCAUUCCUUGGUUGGUAUUGGUUGCCAAAUCCCACGGCAUUGAGGGUCUCCCACCCUCCAUUUUCUAUCAACUGUGGGCACUUGUCCGUAAGGUGGCCUUGCAUGGAACACACGCCACAAGCUGCCACGUUUUGCACUUUUGGACCUUCCACUACCUGAGAAAGCAAAGUAGUAAGGUUAGCCAUUUGAUUUUGAAGUUCGGUUAUGGCACUUACCUUAUUGACUUGAUGUGGUCGUGGGUUACUCCUUUGUCCAACGCCUUCGUAUUGUUGAGCAUUCAACGCACGGUUGGAAAUUAAAAUCUUUGCUGCCGUGGGGGUCUUGUCCACCAAGGCUCCUCCCGCCGAGGCAUCUAGCAUUUGACGUUCGAUAGGUAGUAGCCCCUCGUAGAAGUAUUGCAAAAGAAGUUCCUCUUUCAUCUGAUGCUGUGGACAAGAAGCAACAAGAGAUUUAAAACGUUCAUAAUAAGUAGGAAAAGAUUCACCUUCCUCUUGUUGAAUUCCACUUAUCCUUUUCCGUAGGAGGAUGACUCGAGAAGUUGGGAAAAACUUCUCCAAGAAGGCCCGUUUCAUGCUUUCCCAUGAUGUGACGGUUCCGGGCGCCAAUUCGUACAACCAAUCCUUCGCCUUUUCCAAGAGAGAAAAGGGAAGGCUUUCAUCUUCAAAAUACUCCCAUCGACAUUGACGGGGGUCAUGCUCGAACACACCACCUCGAAUUCUUUCAAGUGUUUGUUAGGAUCUUCCAUGGACAACCCAUGGUACUUCGGAAUGUGGUGUAACAAGCUUGACUUCAAUUCAAAUUCUUCUGUCUUUCCUCGGGCUGCUGCGGGGUAUUGGAUGCAUAGAGGUGCGGCAUUGUCUAAUCCCGAAGCUGAAAGUUCUUUGAUUGUUCGAUUGUCCACCUCCAUGUCUUUUUCUGCCUCCUCCUUUUCUUCAAAUUCAGAUUCAGAACUAGAACUAGGUGGACUAGGUUCUGGUACUUUCCUUUUCCUUCUCAAAGUUCGUUCAAAAUUGUCUUCAAACUCCGAUAUAUGUGCACGAACUGGUUGAGAACUACGAGUCAUAAACUAGCACCUGAAAUAAAUAAAAUCAAAUAAAAUUAAAACUGAAAUUAAAACACACAAAAAAAAAAAUAAAAAGAAACAAUGGGGAUUUAGCAAAGUUGCUAAUCCCCGGCAACGGCGCCAAAAUUUGAUGCGACAAUUUUACUUGACACACAAAUUAAACCCUCUUUUUGACAAUUGUAGUAUAGAUGUAAGUAGGGUAUCGUUCUAAACCGGGGAUUAGGAGGGCUUGCUAAAACCUCUAAACUGACUCAAAAACAAAAAGAAACAAAGUUAAAAAUGUAAACAAAAGAUUUUAAAACAAGAAAGUAAAAGGGGGAUUUGAGUUUGGUGAAGUUGAAAGUAAAAACGAAUAAACUAAAAACUUAAAUAGAUUUUAAACAAAUUUGGGUUGAAUGGAUAAUGGAAGGCUAGCUAAGGGGUUCUUCUCCACACAUGUCUUGCUUGCAUACAAAAUGAUUUCCAAUUGCUCUUCGAUAAGUUAUGAAUACUCAACGCCCCAAAUUAACCGUGAAUUGCACUAAUUAACUCUCAGUUUUUCAACAAGUUAUUAGAUUGGAUGAUUGCAUACGACAACCCAAAACAUUCCCUACAAGUUCCCUACAUGAAUUGCAUAAUAGAGAUACAAGCAAGAAUCAUUAAGUUCUAUGAAAAACAUAAGCAUUGACGAGGCACUCGUUACUAUGAUUUGCAUGAAACUUAUGCCAAGAAUUUACUUAACGUGAUUGUGACUAGCAACCUUCACUACUUGUGAAUAUAAGUUCAUAACGAUUAGGUGAAACUCCCUUAUAUACUAGCGUCAAAUUCAUGCAUGAAAAUUAAGCGUGCACUCUCAACCAACAUACACAAAUUAGUUUUUAUACGAACGGAUAAGUAAAUUGAAUUCACAAUUCAAGAAACGCAAUUGGAAGUAAUCAAAUCAUAUAGCAAGCAUAAACAUGGUUUUGAAUCCCCCCUAGCCAAGGGGGGUUUAGUUCCUCAUUAUUACAAAACAAAGAUAAAGAAAUUUAACCAUUGAAAAACAAAGGGAAGAAAGCACCUAAACGUUCCAACGAUCCAUGUUGGAUAGCAAGCGCGUCCAAGGACUUUUCUCCUUCUCCUUGCCGCAACAACAAGGUUGGAAUGAUGUUGAAGGGUUGGUUAUUUGGAGGAAUGGAUGGGAAGGGGUUUAGAUAUGUAGGAGAGGCAAGGAAAGGCUUGGAGAAUGGUUAAUUUCUGGAUGUCUUAAUGAGGUUGCUGCCAUAGGUAUUUAUAGGGAGAGGAUGGACUUGUUUAAUUCAAUUUCCUAGUGUGAAAACAACCAAAACUCACGGCAAGGAUGUGUAGAAUAAUGGUGGGUUAGGUCUUGAAUCAUUCACUCAAUUUUCUAGUGUGAAAACACCAAAAACUCACGGCAAGGAUGUGGAUUUUAGGUGUGAACAUGGUUUUGAGUGGACUUUUGGUCAAUCCAUCUAGAAACCUAUCCUUUCUUUCAACUUGUAUUUAUUGCACCAGAUUUUUAGCAUGUUUAUUUGAUGUUUUGACUUCAAAUUCGUCCAAACUCCUUGCUCCAUGCAUAUGUACUUCAUUCCAAGCCCAAUUUUGCUCCUAAAAGCUCCAAAAUGCUCCUUUUUGCAUACUUUGACACUAAAACCUGAAAUUGCACGAAAAUGACUUUAAACACUAAACUAACUAAGGAAAAACAACAUAAAUGCAUGAGAACAAGCCAAUUAAGUCGCAUAAAAAUGCUCCUAUCA
rnacentral:lncRNA from 1 species